AUAAAAAAGAGAGCCAAAAGCCCUCAGUGCCUCACACUCACUUGACCAAGUUCAGAGCUCUGAAGUCUGAAUGACUCCCCUUCUCCAACCCUAACUUCUCCUCGACCACCAACGCAGCGCUACCAUUGAUCAUCACCCCCAGCGUCUCCGUCAGAACCAUAGAACCACCACUGUCAUGUUCUUCUUCUUCUUCCACCUUCGCCGAACAACCCCCGCGAAAAUCCUUUUUCUCUUUCUCUUCCCCUGUCUCCUGCCUUCUUUGUCUCGCCGUCGGCUACCAUCCUGCGCCGCCGCGACCAUCUUCUUCUCCUCCUUACAACCUCGCAUUGUGGCUCUGUAGUCCGCCCCUACCUCCCUCAUUUCCAGCCGCAGAAUCAGAACAGGGCCACUCCAGUUCCAGCGUGUUCAGAUGCAGCAGCGGCUGGUCACUGCCACUGCAUCCAUCUCUUCUAUGCUCUUGCUCUAUUCUUCGACUCAGUUUACAGAAGUGAAACCAAAAUCCGAAUUAUCUUCAUUUGAAAGUAAGUCUCAGAAUCUAAAUCAUCUCAGAAGGUAUAUUUUCCCCCUUUUGGUUCAUUAUGAUCUACUUCUUAUGUGAUCAUCAUAAAUGAUAUUAAGUAUAAAAUUUUUUAAUUGUGUAGUAUGUUCUGCUUUAACUGGCCUUAUGCUCCAAUGGCAUGAACUUCUACCAUACUUAAUCCUGCAAAAGCAUUUUAUUUUUAUUUAUUUUUUUCUAAUUGAUGGAUACCCACAUCCUCUAGGAAGAACUGUCUAGAUAGUAAAUUUUCAGUGCCAACUAUGCCUCUUUUCAUUAUUAAAGUCAGCUACAUGAAUGUGUUUUGAAAGUGAUUAGAAUUAGAAAGUAAAUUAGAUGUGUUCAUUUUCUAAAGCCACCCUCUGGAGCAUAUAUUUUUUUUAUUUCAAGUGAUUCAUAUUUUAAUAUUUUAGAAAGACAAUGUAUGUCUCUGCAUAUAAUUUGCUGAUGAUUUCUAUCAGGAAUCAAACUUCAUAAGUCAAAAUAUUAAUUUGUUCUUUAAGCUAAGUAUGAAUGCUUCAAGCACAAAAAUUGCAUGAAAUUAGAGAAAUGUAAAUGGAAAAAAGCAGCAAAAAGAGUACCAAAAAAAGUCAAAGAAGUAAAAAAUGCUUAGCAACGGAUAGGUAUUGCAAUAAAGAUGGUAUAAUGUGUCUUUGAUUGGUGUUCUUACUGCAUAUGAAGGUUGUGCAUGUUUCGAUAAUUGUAAGAUGCUCCUCUGUCUUUGGAUCAAAUUUGGUAAUAUUUAAAGAGAUGAGAAAUUUUAUCCAAGUCCUAUCAUGAUAACGAAUUUUCUGGUUUUUCUAAUUACUCAUGUCUCAUUUUUUGAUGAAAUCCCACUCCAUUAUUUGAAGCUACGUCAGUGAUUAUAGCCCAAUAGGUGGUAUUUACUUAGAUGGUUAGAGAUUUUAGUGUAUUACUAGUUUAUGUUUGAAAAGAAUUUUCUCCUAUGAUCAAUGAAGUGUGAAACUAUAAGUAGUUCGUGCUGUGAUUUGAAUCUCUGAAAAUUAAUCAAUAAUAAUCAAACUAGUCAAUAGAAACCAGUAAUAUGGUUAAUACACCAAUUAGUGUGGUAUAAAAUUGGGCUAAUUAAUUUUUUUUUAUUGUGCGGCUCCCAAGGCUGUGGUAAAAUAUAGGAGCAAGAUUUAGGUAGUAAUUGGACUGCUAUGACUGGGUGUUAUAUAUAAUUUUAAUGUCCAGAUUUUAAUCCAAAUCACUACUACUUGUAGUAUAUAAUGACUUUAAACAUAGAUGUAUAUCCAGCUCACCUUAUAUAAAUUAUUGUAUUAGUUUUGAUAUUGUCUUUUAAGAUUGGACGCUAAUCAAAAUUAGUUCAAAGGCAUUAAUUCCUCGAUUAUUAAUGUGAGUAUAUAUCUUGCUAGAUGGGUCCAUAAUCCAUAUACACAACAUUGUGCAAGAAAAGCUUGAAUACCUGAGCAGAAUAAUCAAUGUACUUUUAUUUAGUGCACUGCUGAAACCAAACAUUAUCUGAUCACUUUGCAAUGUUAUUGAAUCAAUUUCACUUUGAGAUUUGAGAUUUGUGGUAUAAAUGACUGAAUUCCUUGAUUUUGAUGGUUAAUCUUGUUUCAGCUGUCAUCUUCACUUGUGUUUAUUUAUUAAUUUCAUGAACCAAGUCUUCCACUUGAUUACUUAGUAAUGUUCUAAAUUAUCAUUAACUAACACCUUAUGAAGCUUACUUUGAAGGUUAGUAUUUAAUUAGUAGGUAAUUUUUUUAUAGGAGCCUGUUUGUGUGGAUUAUUUUUUUAUUAGGUGCUUUGUUAUUAUUCAACGGUUUAGUCUUAUGUUUACGAAAAGCAAUUCUUUCAAUCCCACUUCGUUAUCAUGUUAACUAAUUCAUGUGUUAGGACCCAUUCCUUAUAUUGAUCAUGUAAACUCUAAUCAAUUAUGUGAAUUCAAAUAUAUCUUUCAACUUAAGAACUAUACAUAUUUUAAAAUAUAUCUUUAUCUGCUUGUGCAUAGUUUUGUUGUAUAUUUUUUGGUUUUGGCUGAAUAUUAUGGACAUGGAAAUUUAUGACGCAGGUAGUUGGAGGAGAUCCGCUUUUGAGGCUCAUAGCAGUUGAUUGGUUCACAGUCGAACAAUCUGUAGACAAAAUUGCUCUGCAUCCUAGAUGUCUGGUUCAGUCGGAAGCUGGGAAAAAGCUUCCAUUUAUCUUUGUCAUUAAUCUUUUGGUAUGGAUAUUAUUUUUCCUUUUUUAUUGCAAAGUGAAAUCCAUUUGAUGCAGAAGUGUUCAAGAAAGAGUGUUAAAAAAAGCCAUUAUUAGGUACCAUGAAACUAUAUGCCUAUUGUGAAUCUCCCACAUCCCCAGCUAUACGUACCAUGAAAGUAUCUAUAGCUGUUAAUCCAUAAUUUUAAGCCAAUAUCAUUGAAUGUAAAAUUGAUUAACUUUAAAAGUAUGGUGUUUAUAGUGGAAUAUGUUUGAUGCCUUCACUGGCUUUCCUGUUGAAUAACUCAGGAAGCAUUAAUGUAGUGCUUGAUUUUUCUGAAAUGGUGUUCGAUUGGAAUCAUAAAUUUGUGUAUGCUUAUAAAUCAGUUUCUCAAGAAGAUUUCUUUUGCUUUCAUCGACAUCAGGUUCCUGCUAAACUGAACUAUAGUCUGUUUCUAUAUUUUGCGGCUGACAGACCUAUGAAUAAAGAUUCUCUAUUGGCUAAGUUUGUAAAUGGAAGUGAUGCAUUUUCGACUCAGGAUUCAAACUUAUUCCAAGCAUAGUUGAGGGAUAUUGGAUGGUAAAGAGAGCCGUUGGAACAAAAGCUUGCUUGUUAAAGCUGUGACAUGUAAAUACUUUAGACAAGAUAAUUUUUUGGAGGGUUUUAGAGAGGCAAAGGAUCUGACUUCAAAACUCCUUACACUGCAAUAAUUGAUGCUUUACUAAAAUGUAGCUCAGUUAAGGGUGACAACUGCUCUUGCAGUAUAUGCUAACUGGAGCUUUGAAGGAAUCAAGGGUAGGGGAUGGGAUUGGACUGGUAUAAUCUAUCUAUUGUUUAUUUAGUGUUUCUUUAUGUUAAUAUCUCAAGUAUGAUAAAUAUGAUGUAAAGAAAAUAUGUUAUAGUAAAGAGAAAUGGUAUAAACCAUUUGAGUAGUUAAUUAGCUUUUUUAAGCUCUUGUAUGAACUUGCGGCGGUUUAAAACUGUCGCAUUUUUUAAAAAA